AGAGUUUGAUCCUGGCUCAGGAUGAACGCUAGCGGCAGGCCUAACACAUGCAAGUCGAGGGGUAACAGGAGAGCUUGCUCUUGCUGACGACCGGCGCACGGGUGCGUAACGCGUAUACAAUCUACCUUGUGGAGGGGAAUAGCCCANAGAAAUUUGGAUUAAUGCCCCAUAGUAUUAUUGGAUAGCAUUAUUUAAUAAUUAAACAUUUAUGGCUACAAGAUGAGUAUGCGUCCUAUUAGCUAGAUGGUAAGGUAACGGCUUACCAUGGCUACNAUAGGUAGGGGUCCUGAGAGGGAGAUCCCCCACACUGGUACUGAGACACGGACCANACUCCUACGGGAGGCAGCAGUGAGGAAUAUUGGACAGUGGGAGCAAUCCUGAUCCAGCCAUGCCGCGUGCAGGAAGACUGCCCUAUGGGUUGUAAACUGCUUUUAUACAGGAAGAAAAAGGUGUACNAGUACACUGUUGACGGUACUGUAANAAUAAGGAUCGGCUAACUCCGUGCCAGCAGCCGCGGUAAUACGGAGGAUCCAAGCGUUAUCCGGAAUCAUUGGGUUUAAAGGGUCCGUAGGCGGGAUAAUAAGUCAGUGGUGAAAGUCUGCAGCUCAACUGUAGAAUUGCCAUUGAUACUGUUGUUCUUGAGUGCUUGUGAAGUGGUUANAAUGAGUAGUGUAGCGGUGAAAUGCAUANAUAUUACUCANAAUACCGAUUGCGAAGGCAGAUCACUAACAAUUCACUGACGCUGAUGGACGAAAGCGUAGGUAGCGAACAGGAUUANAUACCCUGGUAGUCUACNCCGUAAACGAUGGUUACUAGCUGUUCGGGUUA
rnacentral:rRNA from 1 species